rnacentral:rRNA from 1 species
AUUGAACGCUGGCGGCAUGCUUUACACAUGCAAGUCGACGGUAACAGGGAGCUUGCUCCGCUGACGAGUGGCGAACGGGUGAGUAAUGCAUCGGAACGUACCCAGUCGUGGGGGAUAACGUAGCGAAAGUUACGCUAAUACCGCAUACGUCCUGAGGGAGAAAGCGGGGGACCGUAAGGCCUCGCGCGAUUGGAGCGGCCGAUGUCGGAUUAGCUAGUUGGUAGGGUAAAGGCCUACCAAGGCGACGAUCCGUAGCGGGUCUGAGAGGAUGAUCCGCCACACUGGGACUGAGACACGGCCCAGACUCCUACGGGAGGCAGCAGUGGGGAAUUUUGGACAAUGGGCGAAAGCCUGAUCCAGCCAUGCCGCGUGAGUGAAGAAGGCCUUCGGGUUGUAAAGCUCUUUCAGCCGGAAAGAAAUCGCGCAGGAUAAUACUCUGCGUGGAUGACGGUACCGGAAGAAGAAGCACCGGCUAACUACGUG